rnacentral:lncRNA from 1 species
UUUUUUUUUUUUUUUUUUUUUUUUUUUGUCCCCUCGAUGAGAUUCUGGGAUUCAGGAGACUUGUCAGUUGCUCUCCGACUGUCGUUUGCUUCUUUUGGUAACAGGGAGGAUUCCCUCGAAUUGGCCACUGGUUCUUUGCAGGAGUCUGAAGCCGCCUUUUUAGCGCUGAGAGCCGCGAUGGCAGCGAUGCAGGAUGAGAGCUUGGAGGAUGACUUUGUCUUCAUGGCGCAACGCCAGAGAGGCUGGUGUCAUUCUUAUUGGAGCUCACUUUCCCAUCCAGGACUCUGUUUUCCAGCAUUCUUUCAAUUUAUCCUCUGCUUUUCUGACUUUAAAAGGUUCAUAAACACUCAGGUUUAUAGAAUUGGCUUCUGCUUCUCUCUUAACAACUUUGUUUUCCUCCAUAUUGCCUGAUGAAGAGAGUCCCGUUUUGCUGGAGUUUUCCCUUCCGAGUGCCUUCAGCUCAUCGUAGCCCUGCCGGGGAGCUGACUCCGUCAACAGGUUGGACCUGCAGCUUAGCAUGUCCUCCUUGUCAGGGGGUCAUCCACCUCCGUCUUCUCAUCGUCAUCAAACUCUUCAGCACUGGAGAUCGGGCUAAACUGACUGAACGUUGAGUCUUUCAGAGUCACCUCAGGGGCAGGCACGUCUCCUUUCAAGGACUUCACUCCAUCUUUACUGUAACUGUCAAGGGAGGACGCUAUGAGAAAUCCAUUAUGUAGGCCAUUGCCGGUGGGGUUAUGGCCAUCUUUCUCCCUGCCCUCGACGAAGUGGAUGUUCCCAACGUUCUUGAUGAUAACACUGACACCCACGUCAGAAGAUGAUGGUGCUGGGCAUCAUCCUCUCCCUGGGCGUUCUGCUUCGUGCGGUUUUUCAUGGUCAUUGUGUCCAGACUCAGUAGCUGCUUUAGGAUCGACUAUAUCUGGGAUGUCAAAUGCUGCCAGGAGGUCAUCAAAGUCUGGGGUCUUCAUAUCCCCCAUGGUCAUGAAUUUGAGCAGAUGUUCUCGUGAACCUUGACCUUUUGGAAAGACUUUAGACCAAUGUUCAGUUACUGUCACACGGCUGCGUUCUCAACAAAUAGGAAAGGGUUAAAAGCAGCCCCAGUCAACAGGCCUUUUGGCCUUCAUAAUAGUCAGAAGCAUCCCCAACACUCUUUAGUAGCGUCUGAAAGAAAAACCACAAAACAGAACAUACCCCCCUUCCCGGGGUUGGCCUUCGCGGCGGUCAAGCCCGGGCGUCUGGGCCGCAGCUCCUAUGACCUUUGUUCAGUGCAGCGCCGCUGGUGGCUGCUGCUGUGGCUGCUGCUGCUGUCGCCGAGCGGCGUCGGGCUGGCUUCCAUGUUACCGGCGUGUCAUCUGCGUUCCUGCUGCCGGAUUCUGUGUGUGCGUGUGCGGUGGAGCCGGCCAGCCUGGCCCGGGCACCGCGCCUCCCGUGGCACC